GUGCUUCUGACCUGACAGCUUGGGCUUGACCUCUAGACAGCUUGAGCUGUCUUUAUUGCUCAAACCAAUAGGAUGAUUUGCUGAGGCCUGGGAGCUCCCCACUCCAGAGAAUCCCUGAUAUCCCAAAAUUUGGCUGAGAUCUAGGUUUAUUUUGCUGUACAUCUCCUUUUCUAGAGUUUUACUCACUUCCAACAGGGAAGGCAAGUUUGAGUAUUUUCCUUCUUCUAGGAUGGUACAAAGAAAUCUUUAGCCUGGGCCCCAGUUCCUAGCUUUUAGUAAUGGAGUAAAGUUUACUCCUCUGAGGAAAACUUGGGGCAAAUUUCUUUCUACCUGAUUUCUCCAGGAUUUGGAAAAUAUUUGUGAGUAUUCUUAAAUUAUGGCAAUAUAGUUAUUUGUGUAAGUGCAAUGAGAAUCUGUUUUUCUUGUAUAACAGGACACCAUUGAAAACACUGAUUAUUUUACCAAGGCUUUGACUGGAAUGGCAUGCUCUCAAAUAUAAACAGACUGCUUUAAAGAAUCAAAGUUGAUUUAUGGAGCUAACUAAAGCCCUUUGGAAAAACUGGCCUCAGACCUUGUCUACUCAGUCCAUACACAGGGUUCCUGACCUGUGGUAAGUAAAGAACAUCAUUUUCUGACAAGCCCAGAAACCUCAAGUUAUCUCGGGACCUACAAAGGUGAGGAAUUCACCCAACUCAUACAAGUAUUUACAGGUGCAUUUAAAUCCGUGGCUGGGGUCAAGGAUUUAAAAGGUCUAAUCUAAGAUUCUUUAUGGAACAAAGUGCCAUCAAAGCCAAUUUUUUAAAAGAGCCUAUAUGGCAAAUAAUUAUUCUUGCUGCACUUUAUGCAAGUAAUCAGGCCAAAUACAAUAAAACUAAAACUUAUUUUGCAAACAAAUUGUUCCUUCCAUGAUUUGUCUUUGGUAAAACUUGGAGACUAGAAAGAGAAAAAACAUAUAUUUCAAAAUAAACUAGAGUAAACCUCUUACUAGAUUGUAGCCUUGCCAAAUGUUUUUCAAUUUUUAUUAUCUUCUAAAAUUUGGACUGAAUUCUAAAAUGUUUUCUAUGUCUUCAAAAUAAUAUUUUCAAUUUUUUCUCUUCUUUUUUCCCAGUUUUCUAGAUUUAAAAUUACUAAAAAUUAAGCUGUGCUUUCUUAAAGCCCUGUGAACUGAAGCUAGGCAACUUAAACUUCAGAAGAAAAUAACAGCAACCUAUUUAUAUACAUGAACUACUUUCAUACGUGUAUACUGAUGUAUGAAAUUCAGAGUAAUAUGGCCUACAUCUGUUUUGCAGGAUUGUUCUCUUGUUUUCUGUUUGUGUGUUAUUUUCUUUCUCUCUUCCUCCCCCUAUUUUUUCUUCAUAGGUCAUGUGACUUCACAACCAUCUAAAAAUGAGUUUUCCUAACAAUGUGGGAACUAGUCAUCUAGGAAUAAACUGUCCUAGCUACAAGAGAUCAGACAAAACCCAAGACCAGAGACUCAUUUUCUUCUAAAAUGCUUUCUCUGAAAAAUUUAAAAAAAGAAAAGAGAGAGAAAUGUGAAAGGAAAAUAAAAAGUUGGGACUCUAAUUUCACUAUGCCAAAAGAAAAAAAAAUUAAGCUGAAAGCUGAGUCAUGCAGGAAGCCUCCUUUCCUUUUGUUCCUAAACAGAUAGCUACGAGUAAAAACUUAAAUAUCUCUACAGGUAGCUACUCUAUGUUAAUCUUAUAUAAAAUGCUGACUUACUGAGCAUGAGACCAAUAUAUAAUUGACUAUUCCCUUUCCUGUUCCUUUUCUCUUCUAACACGUGGAUUCAGUAAUGUGACCAUACUCUUCCUGUUUUCCCUCUAGCUUGCUUUUCUCUUCUAAAUAUUGAAGCCCGCAAAAUCAUCUUUGGAGAAAGGCACAGACCUGUCUCCUGGGUGCAUGUCCUUAACCUUGGCAAAAUAAACUUCUAUAUUGAUUGAGAUCUGUCUCAGAUACUUGUUGGUUUACUCUACCAAAGCAGAAUAUGGAAUGUGGAGAUGAGAGUUUCAAAUAUUCCUACCACCUGAUUCUUCCUAAAGCAUGUAUAUUUCAAAGAAAAACCUCAAUAUGUGCCUCAGAUACUAUGCCAUUCUUUCUCUCAAGUUUCAGUCAUAGAUGCAGAACCAG
rnacentral:lncRNA from 1 species